rnacentral:misc_RNA from 1 species
UCAGACCCUUAGUGCUUACAGU